GUGAGCGUAGCUCAAGGGUAGAGCACCAGGUUGUGGUCCUGGGGGCUGUGGGUUCGAAUCCCAUCGCUCACCCCA
rnacentral:tRNA from 1 species